CCUCGGUGAGUUAAAAGAAAAAAAUGGUUCGCGAUGCAGAUCGAGCGGCGGCGCUCCGAUGGGACCGGGAGCAGGAAGACGGCGGCGAGCACAUAAAAGGCGCGGGCGGCACACUGCCCGGCCGAGAGGAGGAGCAGGAGGGGAGGCGCUGAGGCGGGGCCAUAAGCGUCGGACGCGCUCGCUCGCCCGCAAUCAACGCGGACGCAGCGGCCAUCCAUGGCGGCUCGGGUCGAUGCAGGAGGACGAGGGGAGGAGCUCGUGAGGGCCGGCACCGGUAAUGGAGCGGAGGCGGGUGGAUCUGGCGAUUCCGCAGGGGCUGCGGCGACGAGCGGCUCCGUGUGCGGCGACCUGCGGGGUUCAAGCGACGGCUGCCAUGAAGGUUGGGCGGCGGCUCUCUUGUAGAGAAGGAAUAGAAGGAGAGGAAGAAGGAAUAGAAGGAGAGGAAGAAGGAAUAGAAGGAGAGGAAGAAGGCAGGUCACUCAAAGAGCAUUCAUCUCCUGCCCCCUCUCUCCUCUGGCAUGGCAUGAUGUGCGCGGCUGGAUGUGUGAUGUGCGUCCAUGUUCAUGUGAUCUUCAAGACAGCAGGGACCAAUUGCACCCUUGCUUUUGUUUCUGUCCUGUGAACCAGUCUAAGAUGGCCUCUAAGAAGCACUUGGCUGGUACAGAGAAAUUUUCUGUAGUCUUCAAAUAAAACAUCCUAAUCUUCUAUGAUGUGGUUUUUCGAGCAGGAAGGGGAGGUGAUGUGCGCCAGGUACGUGGUCGAGGAAGUGAACACCAGUUUCAGCUAUGUAGUGUUCUGUGGUGAAUGAGAAUGUUUCAUAGUUUAUUAUAUUAAUCUAAAUUUUGGUUUUACGUUUUUGCUUCACAGAUAUUUUUGAGUAACUUUUUUCCAAACUAUGUACUAUACAUGUGGAUUUUUUUUUGCGGGGAUACUGCAUGUCCACUUCUGAGUACAAAUUCUAAAUUCGUAUAUGAAACCUUAAUUCAACUCCUACCAUACAAAACUAAUUUUGUGGUUCAGUUGUUUAAGAGCUCAAAUAGGAUGUGUACUGGAACCUCAAGGAAAAUGAAAAGAAGAGUAGGAGCAGGAGCUGGAGACGCAGCCGCACAAGGUCGAACCGGCCACAUAGAUCCUUUUAUUCUGCAACUAUGACAACUCUGGCAAGACCUUUGUUGAUGUGGCUGCCUUGAGGAAGCAUGCUCAUGUACAUGGCGAGAGGGGAUGUAUGUUUUUCAGUAGCCCGGCUAUUGGAAGUAAUUCCAGGCUUUUUAUAAAGGACCUUUCUCUGUUUGGCAUAGAUUAAUGAUUUUGGUACAUCCAUCCAUCCAAUCCAGAUGCCGCUGAUGAACAAAUAGUGAUCCAGUUUGGUCGGGUUAGAUAUAAGUUUGGUCUCCGCUCGAGCUCCUGUUGUUGCUUGGAUUUUCCUUUUCCCCUCUCAUCCAACCGCAGGGGCCUGUUAUUUUUUUCAUCUAGAUGAUGUCGUGGUCGCCCGGCCGAUCAAAUCCUCGCGCACACACAACAACUCAACUCCACGGUCUGCACGCAGCAGCUCAACACCACGAAUGCCUAAAGUUGAAGCUCACAUGCUGGAGUGUUUAUGCACAUCUGAAGUUGGCACAUUCAGUUCUGCAUAUAUCGAACAGCCUUCAAAACUUCUGAAAGCAUAGAGCUGGAGAACCAUCCUCUAGACUCUCCUGUAUCCCCACAGAUUAUUUUGCUUCCAAACUUCUGAUAAACACAGCAGCUUCCAAUGCAAUUUCACUUGCCAGAUGUUGUUAUUCAGGAGGAGGAUUUCCGUAGUAUCCCUGGGCUGGAAUAGAAUUCCUUGAUUUGACGUCAAGCAUUGGCAACUGCAGAAUACAUUGUCUCGAGGUACAAUCACACGUGAUUCUCAAACAAUCAUUGAUUCAUGAAUUGCAGCAGGGUGAACCCAAGAUGUCCGGAGCCUCUCUUGUGAAUCACAUUGCUUACAAUGAUUUCAUGAUUGAGGUCUCACAUAUGAGUUAUGGUAUUUCUAUCCUUAAAAGUAUGUAAUAAAUCCACAAUUCAGUUUGAGUUAUGCACUUUGCUUUUUUAAUCAGGAUUAUACGAUUAUUAAAGCACAUACAUCGAAGUUUUAAUAUAGGCAGGUUGCGUGCACACGCACCUCUUUGCCCAGGUGUACUUGAUGACACAUAUGCCCUUUGUAUGGCUGGUAAACAGAAGGUGGUCACGUUGCUGCAUUUGAUUGUUGCGUACAAGGAUGAGACUGAGUAUAAUGUGCUUGCACAUGCCAUCAACUCACUACUCUUCCUAUUCUAAUUAAUUUUUGUUGUUCCUAAACUUGAUCUUGUUCUAAUGAUCAUUUAUCAUGCAGUCUCUUCUAGCUUUUCAGAAAUCCGUCCCUUGCAAGUGAGGUGGCUGGGAUGCCAAGAGUGGGGAGGGUCACCUGAAUACACUGUUAAGAGGUGUAAAGGAAGUGAAGUGUGAACCCAGUGUUUCUUUUGACUACUCCAAGUCUGAAAUGAAUUCCAUGAGGAGGAAAAGGCUGAAUUGAGUGCUUGAAAUAAAGGAGGAGCAUCCUAAGAAGCAGUCAGGUUGGAGAAAAAGAUCAGAGUUUCAUCUGUUGUGAAAGUGGAAGGUAAUUAGACGUCAGAAGAUUACAAGGAAAGAUAAAGCGGAUAAAUUUACACGGAAUCAUACCACAUGAGCUCACAUCACGGCCGUUGUCCCACGACACAGUUUCUUGCCAACCAUGAUUCAUAGGAUAGGAAGUGGUGCUCUCUCCCGGUGCAACGCACGGGCAUUUGUGCUAGUAUCACAAAACAACUGAGAACAGACAAACAGGCAAUUGUAACAUUGUAUGGGCAAGUCCAGCACGGAACUAGAUUACAGGUCAAAAUCAAAGGAACAUCACUUCUCUCUUUUAAACCUUAUAAGGUGCAAUGAUACGCUAAGACAAUUGUGUAUAAAAUUGAAAAGAGUAAUAGACAUUGGCUGCAAACCAUGCAGUUCAAGGCUCAAGUCAGAAUAAGUAGUAGUUAAUAGGCAUGAGGAUUAAA